GCGCGGGGCACGCUGGGUUGAAGGGUGAAGGGCGAGGGGGACAGGGACCGGGACGGGGGCAGCCCUUUCCCAGGCGGUAGCGGGGCCGGUGGUGCUGUUGCCCUUUUAAGCUGUGGCUUGACAGGAGCCGCGCCUCCCGUCGGUGGAGUCGGUUACAAUGGGAGCAGCCCCACAGGCCUCCACAUAGCUCCCGCCAAGUCCUCCUCCGUGCCCCUUGCCAUUUUCCAGCCGCGCUCCCACGAGGCUCGAGGAGGCGGGGAGAGGCGGAGCUGGGAGAGCUCUGUAGGGCGGCCCCGCGGGUGGUCGCGGCCGUGACAGCGGCUCCGGACAGUCUCCGGUUCCGCGCCUCUCUGGCCGGAGAUGAGGGGAAGAUGUCCGUGUCCCGGCUCAAGGCCAAACUGAAGUUGCUGGCAUCUGUCUUCCACAAGGACCCGGAGCCCGCCCCCGCCGGCUCACGCUCCCCUGCAACAUGACGAAUGGGGCAACAGAGGAAGUGACUUCAGAAGAAGAGGAAGAAGAGGAGAUGGCUGAAGUCGGAGAAGAACGACAUUUCGGCCGGGCGCGGUGGCUCAAGCCUGUAAUCCCAGCACUUUGGGAGGCUGAGACAGGCGGAUCACGAGGAUAUAGAAGACUGAGACCACUGUGAGAUGAAAGAAGAGCCUAUUAGUGGGAAAAAGUUAGAGGAUGAAGGAAUUGAAAAAGAUAAUUUGGCAAUAUUAGAGAAAAUUAGGAAGACUGAAAGG